AUCAACUUUCGUGGUAGGAUAGAGGCCUACUAUGGUGGUAACGGGUAACGGGGUGUUAGGGCACAACACCGGAGAGGGAGCCUGAGAAACGGCUACCACAUCCAAGGAUAGCAGCAGGCGCGCAAAUUACCCAAUCCCAACACGGGGAGGUAGUGACAAUAAAUAACAAUACGGGGUUCUUUCAGAUUUCGUAAUUGGAAUGAGUACAAUUUAAAUCUCUUAACGAGGAACAAUUGGAGGGCAAAUCUGGUGCCAGCAGCCGCGGUAAUUCCAGCUCCAAUAGCGUAUAUUAAAGUUGCUGCAGUUAAAAAGCUCGUAGUUGAAUUUCGGGACCAAUAUGUCAGUCAUGCCUCAGUACGUACUGGCAUCGUUGGUUUCUCCCUUCUGAAGAACCAUGAUGUCAUUUAUUUGGUGUCGUGGGAAAUCAGGAAUGUUACUUUGAAAAAAUUAGUGUUUAAAGCAGGCUUACGCUUGAAUACAUUAGCAUGGAAUAAUGAAAUAGGACGUUUGAUUCUAUUUUGUUGGUUUCUAGGAUCGACGUAAUGAUUAAUAGGGAUAGUUGGGGGCAUUAGUAUUCAAUUGUCAGAGGUGAAAUUCUUGGAUUUAUUGAAGACUAACUACUGCGAAAGCAUUUGCCAAGGAUGUUUUCAUUAAUCAAGAACGAAAGUUAGGGGGUCGAAGACGAUCAGAUACCGUCGUAGUCUUAACUAUAAACUAUGCCGACUAGGGAUCGAAUGAUGUUAAUUUUUUAAUGACUCAUUCGGCGCCUUACGGGAAACCAAAGUGUUUGGGUUC
rnacentral:rRNA from 1 species